rnacentral:rRNA from 1 species
GAUCCUGGCUCAGAUUGAACGCUGGCGGCAUGCUUUACACAUGCAAGUCGAACGGCAGCACAGGGAGCUUGCUCCCGGGUGGCGAGUGGCGCACGGGUGAGUAAUACAUCGGAACGUGUCCUGUUGUGGGGGGAUAACUGCUCGAAAGGGUGGCUAAUACCGCAUGAGACCUGAGGGUGAAAGCGGGGGAUCGCAAGACCUCGCGCAAUUGGAGCGGCCGAUGCCCGAUUAGCUAGUUGGUGAGGUAAAGGUUCACCAAGGCGACGAUCGGUAGCUGGUCUGAGAGGACGACCAGCCACACUGGGACUGAGACACGGCCCAGACUCCUACGGGAGGCAGCAGUGGGGAAUAUUGCACAAUGGGCGCAAGCCUGAUGCAGCAACGCCGCGUGGAGGAAGACGGUUUUCGGAUUGUAAACUCCUGUUCUUAGUGAAGAAUAAUGACGGUAGCUAAGGAGCAAGCCACGGCUAACUACGUG